AAAAAGAUGGCCGAGAUUUAAGGUGAUAAAUUGUAAAUUUAUUUAUAAAUAUUUAAUUUUCUUUUUA
rnacentral:tRNA from 2 species